UCUACACAUUAAUCUACUUAUCUGGAAUCACUUUGCCUCUAAAGGCCAGAGAAAAAUCACAGCUUCCUUGUCGGAGGGGAAAAGGACAGGUGAUCUGGGGAAAACGCAGCUACACCUGGAGCAAGGUCUCUUCCCGGCUUGGCAAUCUCAGCUGUGCCGGCGCUACGGGACCCGAGCCGUCCCAGAAACCAAAGGGCAGGCACGGCAGCAAACGCCUGAGUGCUGCUGCCUUCGGUGACUAUAUGAGAAUGGAAACUUCUAAGGAAGCCAGGUUGUUAGAAUUGUUACCCCCUUUACUCAGAGAUAACAUAGAUUAUCCAGGCUGAGAUGGAAAACAAGCCCUUUAUUGAAUUUUCAACACAGACUCCCUGCUUCUCAUCUCCUUAAUAAAAUUUCAUUAAAA
rnacentral:lncRNA from 1 species